AUUGAACGCUGGCGGCAGGCUUAACACAUGCAAGUCGAGCGGGGGAAGGUAGCUUGCUACUGGACCUAGCGGCGGACGGGUGAGUAAUGCUUAGGAAUCUGCCUAUUAGUGGGGGACAACAUCUCGAAAGGGAUGCUAAUACCGCAUACGUCCUACGGGAGAAAGCAGGGGAUCUUCGGACCUCGCGCUAAUAGAUGAGCCUAAGUCGGAUUAGGUAGUUGGUGGGGUAAAGGCCUACCAAGGCGACGAUCUGUAGCGGGUCUGAGAGGAUGAUCCGCCACACUGGGACUGAGACACGGCCCAGACUCCUACGGGAGGCAGCAGUGGGGAAUAUUGGACAAUGGGGGGAACCCUGAUCCAGCCAUGCCGCGUGUGUGAAGGAGGCCUUAUGGUUGUAAAGCACUUUAAGCGAGGAGGAGGCUACUCUAGUUAAUACCUAGGGAUAGUGGACGUUACUCGCAGAAUAAGCACCGGCUAACUCUGUGCCAGCAGCCGCAGUAA
rnacentral:rRNA from 1 species